GAUGAAGAACGUAGCGAAAUGCGAUAAGUAAUGUGAAUUGCAGAAUUCAGUGAAUCAUCGAAUCUUUGAACGCACAUUGCGCCCGUCAGUAUUCUGGCGGGCAUGCCUGUUCGAGCGUCAUUACGCCCCUCAAGUCCCCUGUGGACUUGGUGUUGGGGAUCGGCGAGGCUGGUUUUCCAGCACAGCCGUCCCUUAAAUUAAUUGGCGGUCUCGCCGUGGCCCUCCUCUGCGCAGUAGUAAAACACUCGCAACAGGAGCCCGGCGCGGUCCACUGCCGUAAAACCCCCCAACUUUUAUAGUUGACCUCGAAUCAGGUAGGACUACCCGCUGAACUUAAGCAUAUCAAUAAGCGGAGGA
rnacentral:misc_RNA from 1 species